rnacentral:rRNA from 1 species
UACGGAGGAUCCAAGCGUUAUCCGGAUUUAUUGGGUUUAAAGGGUGCGUAGGCGGGUGAUUAAGUCAGUGGUGAAAGCCUGCAGCUUAACUGCAGAACUGCCAUUGAUACUGAUAAUCUUGAGUACAGUUGAGGUGGGCGGAAUGUGUCAUGUAGCGGUGAAAUGCUUAGAUAUGACACAGAACACCGAUUGCGAAGGCAGCUCGCUAAACUGUAACUGACGCUGAGGCACGAAAGCGUGGGGAGCAAACAGG